AUACGUAGGGUGCGAGCGUUGUCCGGAAUUACUGGGCGUAAAGAGCUCGUAGGUGGUUUGUCGCGUCGUCUGUGAAAUUCCGGGGCUUAACUCCGGGCGUGCAGGCGAUACGGGCAUAACUUGAGUACUGUAGGGGAGACUGGAAUUCCUGGUGCAGCGGUGAAAUGCGCAGAUAUCAGGAGGAGCACCGGUGGCGAAGGCGGGUCUCUGGGCAGUAACUGACGCUGAGGAGCGAAAGCAUGGGUAGCGAACAGGAUUAGAUACCCUGGUAGUCCAUGCCGUAAACGGUGGGCGCUAGGUGUAGGGGUCUUCCACGACUUCUGUGCCGUAGCUAACGCAUUAAGCGCCCCGCCUGGGGAGUACGGCCGCAAGGCUAAAACUCAAAUGAAUUGACGGGG
rnacentral:rRNA from 1 species